UUGUCUCUGCGGACGAUGGGGAAAACGUAUUGCUAUGCCCGAUAGGAUAACGUACGGGAUUUGUCCCUUGUUGCGGUGUGCAUGCCUGCCGGUUCGCCGUUGUAGGAAGCCUGAUGCAGCAAUUACGAAGCCCACUUUGUAAAGGGGGCGUAUCAAAUCCGAUCCCAUCUCACCCGCAGAGACUUU
rnacentral:other from 1 species